CUGAGUCAUCCUCUUAUCCGAUCGCCCUUGCUUAUCAGUUCGCUUGCUUCGUGAGGAAGAAGCUUAGCCGCUAAGCCGUGGCUGCAUCUCUCCCUCUCUCUCGCGUUCCAUCGCCACGCCGCAUGACGUCGCCCGUGUCACUUCGCUCUGAGAGCCCUACCCUUGAUUCCCGGCCGUAGUCAUCGUCCACCCAUGUUCCGCCGCCAUAUCCGCUCUCCGCGCGUCACCUCGUGUCGCGUCGCCGUCGUUUUAGCCGUCGAAUCGCCACCAGUGCGUGACGCCACUCCGUCGCGUCGCCGUCACCUCCGCCCAGGAAUCCGGCCGAGCAAGCUAGCCGGCUACCCCCGGUUUCCCGCGCCUAGACUUCCAGCUCGUCACCGCAUCGCGCCAACCCGCCCUCGCCUAUUAAAGGAGGCAAAACCUGAGCCCCAUCUUCACCAUUGCCAUCACCAUCUCCAUCUCUCUCUCCUCUCCUAUUCUCUCUCGUUCUCCUCUCUGUGCCGCCGAUGGAGCUCUGCCGAAGUUCGCCGCCGCCUCCCCCGGCCGCCGGCUGCGGAGCCGCGCCUCGCCGCCGCGGCACCUUGCCGCCCUGAGCCGAGCAGGCGAGAGGAAGGAGGAAGAAGACCUCUAGCCGUUGACAGCCGGGCCCCACACCUCCCUCUCUCCCUCAAGCAGCUGACAGCCAGGCCCCACGCCCUUUUCUCUCUUUCAGUCGCUGACAGUUUUAUUUUCGCGUUGAGAGCCCGAGUACGAGGAAGCUCUGGACGCCACUUUCGAGGGAGAAGACCCGCACCCUGUGCAAGGCAAGCCUCUUUGAUCACAUUGCCCCUAAAUUUGCAAAGAUAUGUUAUUUGAAAAGUGCAUUGCUUAGUAUACACGAUUAACAUGUUUAGGCCUCAGAUUAUUUAUAUAUACAACCGACGGACCAACCUAGUAGUCACACUCACAUUGCGUAGGUUGUUGUUUCCAUACCUUUGAUAGCUCCAAAAAUGUUUGUGCCGAUAUCGUUACACGAUUACCGAGGUAGUUUCGCUUAGCCAUGCUUACGUUGUUCGCCGUGUGGGAAACUUGGGUUAUUCCAAAUUACAUGUUUAAAAAUCCCGCACGUUGUACCGAGGAGUUGUGAAAUAAAAUGUGUUGUUAAAGUAGUGAUGAUGCGGAGUCAUGCCUUUGUGGUUUGGCUACGUAUUGUCGUUAAGGACCGAUUCCUUUGGGAAAUCCAUCCAAACACGUUACAGUGCGACCACACGGGUAUUUAUGGGAUGCCUCUAGCUAAGUAAAUUUUUAUCACAUGGGAGUUGGUGUGCCAAUGGUUGUGGAAUGCCGAGGAUGAGGAGACGAAGUGUUACACAUUUAUUGCCCAUCAUGGGUGUCUUUUUGCUCUAUUGUGGCGUGAUACCAGUAAGAGUAGGAGACAUCCUCGGUAUUUGCUGAGUGGAUGACGGUUGUCAUUGCCUGAUACUCGGCUAUGGAUCUUAGCCCAACUAGGUGGCAUGCGAUUUUCAUGGGUUAGCUUUGGAAAGGCCUUAUCAUGAACUUCCGUUACCGAUGGGUAGACGGUGUAAGUUUCGUGUCGUGUGGGUAAAGCGUGUAACCUCUGCAGAGAUUAAUGAACUGUUCAAACAGCCGUGCCCGCGGUCAAGGGCGAGUGUAAGGUGUUUCUCAUAGCGUAGAUUUGUUUGACAAAUAUUUGUGAAGAAGUGGUUAUUGGGAAGGGUAACGUUUCUAGAGUCCACCUGUGUGGCAGACGGCUAACCUUUGUGGUUAGGAAUGGGUCUGUGUGACCUGGGGUGUCGUCCAACACCGAGGUGUUGUUAGGGUCAUGAUGGCGUUGAUGUGCUGAGAUAAUUGUGUGAAUUGUGUUAUUGUGAAAGUGAAAAGAAACUAAUAGAGGAAACAAAUUAAUUGUUGUUUGUUAAUGUGACAAGUUGUUGCAAAGCAACUUGUGGAAUGGGUUGAGGCUUGAGGCUCCUCCCGAUAACCAAAACUUGACUCACUCACUAGGAGUUUUGUGAAAUAAAUCACUUUGCCAAAAAGGCAGCUUUCGCAAAUAAAACCUUAGCCUCCUUGUUUAAGCCAAACAUGUCAUUCUUUCCCCUAGCUUGCUGAGUACGUUAAGUACUCACCCUUGCCCCUUAUAAUAAUCUAUAGAGUAUGAAGAUGAAGACGCCGACCCGACCGCCGAGGAGUAUCUCCAGGAGCAAGCCGAGUAUGAAGACUUCUAGAUGUUUCGUGCCUAGCCCCAAACGUCGCCUGUGGAAUAAGUUAGUUACCUAGGUUCUUUGCCUAGUGCAUAGUUGCUUAGUCGUUUAGUUCUCCGCGCUGUUCGCUUCUGCGCCGUCACUUUUAUGGUUUUAUGCAAUGUUGCAUUGUUCAUCUAUGGGCCUAUCCAUGAUGGCAACUUAUGUAAGGACUAUUACCCAGUGAUGUAAUAAAGCACUUUAAUUUGAUUCCACAUUUAUUUUGUGUGUA